GUGGUCAUGUGCAACUGAUGUGAGACAAUCCAUUUCCGUCAUCUUCCCUGGAAAUCUCUACCUCAGGAUGCACAAGCCAGAAGUUUCAAGUAGACUCAGCCAGGCUCUCCUUGGAGACUCGUGAGGCUAAGUUCAAGGAUGUGCCUUGCAGCCUGCAUGGAGAGCGUUCCGUUAAGGAUAAGAGGCUUGACUCACCCAACAUGGUGCAGCUGAUGUUCUCAUUCAUUGGCAGCUCUUCGGGGAAACCAGAGAGGCAUGGUCUAAUUUCACUCACUCCUCAUCUUCCUUCGUGCCAGAUGGCUGGCUGCAAAGGUAUGCCUUUUUUUCAUAAACCAAGACAUAGCAUUGAAAAAGGAUGGAGAAGAUUUUACUAGCUCUAUCCUAUUACUAUGUAUCUACUUUUUGC
rnacentral:lncRNA from 1 species